rnacentral:rRNA from 1 species
CUCGUAGGCGGCCAACUAAGUCAUACGUGAAAUCCCUCAGCUUAACUGGGGAACUGCGUGUGAUACUGGAUGGCUUGGAUUUGGGAGAGGGAUGCGGAAUUCUAGGUGUAGCGGUGAAAUGCGUAGAUAUCUGGAGGAACACCGGUGGCGAAGGCGGCAUCCUGGACCAAUAUUGACGCUGAGGAGCGAAAGCCAGGGGAGCAAACG